ACAAGCAGACAGAACUCCAAACAUAACCAAACGAUUUUAAUUUUUUAUUGAUCUAGGCGUAGAAUCCGCUACCGUAUAAAACAAGAAUGAAUAUCUCUUCGCUUAUGAUUUCUGGACUAUUCCUGGUUUUACUGUCCGCAAAGACGGAGGCAAAACCCUUGGCUCAGUCACAGCAGGAUCCUACACAUUUAUUGGGUGAAGAAUUCAUUGAGAAUAUUUCCUCGGAAGAAAGGGGUCACAUUACAAAUGUGGUGCCUAGGAUACGGUCCUCACGAGGCCUCAACCUUGAGAUCAAACCAAAGAGGUCCUUAGGUUGGCGCAACAACUCUAGGAAAAGCUCCAAGAAAAAAGGCUGUUUCGGACUCAAAAUAGACAAAAUAGGAGCAAUGAGCAAACUGGGUUGUUAGAUCUGCGACUCCUAGCGACGGACACCAGGCUGGUGAUGGGCUCCUAAAACUACUUGUGUGUUUUAUUGUCUCGCGAAAAGUACCCUUUAAUAAGAAAACGACGCAGUUUCUCCCGGUACGAAGAAUCACAUUUACCAGCGACUUUGUUGUAAAGAAACGUGAUGGAGCAUGUCGUUGCUAUCAUAAAUUGUUUAUUUCAUUUCUGCAUAAAUGUAUUUAUGUUUAAACUAUGUAUAUCUUUAUAAAAGAAAGAUAUUUAUAAAAGUUUAUUUAUGUAACGAACUGAACAGAUGGUUAAAGUAGAAUUUGUAACAUUUGUCCUGAUAGCGAUUACGUGUUAAAUUGCAUUUCACGAAAGUCCGAAAAGUCUCCUUAUUUAUUACUGUCCGUGCAAUACAAAAUAAAAAAAA